rnacentral:rRNA from 1 species
GAUGAACGCUGGCGGCGUGCUUAACACAUGCAAGUCGAACGAAAAGACCCGAACUUGCUUGCGUACUCGAGUGGCGCACGGGUGAGUAAAACAUGGGGGAUCUGCCCUUCACUUCGUGAUAUACCUUGGGAACUGGGGCUAAUAUCGGAGAGAACCACUUCAUGGACGUUGUUGAGGAGAAUUUGUUCGGUGUGCGGUGAGCUCUCGGUCUAUCCGCGUGUUGGUGGGGUAUUGGUCUACUAAGGGGUUGAUGGGUAGCCGACGUGAGAGGGUGUACGGCGACACUGGAGCUGAGCCGCGGUCCUGAGUCCUACGGGAGGCAGCAGUAGGGAAUGUUCGGCAAUGUGCGAAAUACUGACGGAGCGACGCAAGGUGAGUGAUGCAGGGCUGCGGGGCGGAAGACUCUGUUAGGGGUGAAGAACACUUGUGUAAGGAACGAUGCGCUUCGUGACGGUACCUGAACAGAAAGCCCCGGCUAACUACGUG